CUAGACGAAAAAAAAGGAGAAUCAGCUAGAAAAUAUUCUUCAUCUUCUUCGUUGGCAAAACGAAAAGAGCUAAAAAGCAAAAGAAGGGCUCCAGCCAUUGGACAAUACAUCCGAACCUUGAGAUCAUCUUCUUCACUAAAGGAAAAAACCUAGCGCCUCCUGCUUCUUGUUCUUCAAACCAUUGACGAUCUUCGCCGUAUCGCCGCUAACUCACUAGAAGAAAGGUACUGCUAGUUGAGCAAAAGAACAUAAAUAAUACUCCAAGGAUAAGGUCUUGGUCGGUUAGAUCUGGCAGCGAGGCUGUCCAUUCUAAGGUUGGAGAUUUCCGGCGAGGCUUUCUGUUUGAGGACGAUUUGAGGUCAUUGUUCAAGUCGAGGUUAGUGAUCUUGGUUGGAACGUUAUUGCUGGCGUCAGUAGCUGAAGCUCAUAAUUUUGUACGCAGCCAAAAGGUUAGAAAUCCUUCAAUUGAAAUAUACAUUCCUAAAUCGCUCUUGGUUCAAUGUUAUAUGCAUAUGGGAGUUGGUCUCUAUUUGUGUGUAUUUCUGUAUGUAUAUAUAAUUUUGAUUCAAAGUUGUGGUAUUUCGGUUGAAAGUUUGAUUUUUGUAAUAAAGUUGAAUUUGGGUAUUAUGUGUUUGCUGUUUGGUUGUUAUAAUUGUUUUGGGAUUUUGGGUUUUCACUUCAAAUAGCAUUUCAGUUAAUUGAAUACCAAGGCAUUUUAGCAUGGCUUGUAGUUUAAGGGAUAUUAAGUGCCAAUGCGGGUGAAUAUACUGUUUUGUUAUGGGUAAAUCGUGUUUGGUUUUUUGGUUAAUCCUCACAGACUAAGUGAAGUAAUAUAUGAUUGUAGAAUUAUUUAGAAGAAGAGAUAGGGGCGACGGGUUUUCUGUUGGAAUAAGAUUGAUUUCGUUUUUUGACUAAUAAAUGGGUUCGAUUGAUUUUCUUCACGUGUAAUCUUAAAUGGCGGAAAUGCAUAAUGUGAACAAAUACCGUAGCUUGCUUUAGGCGCGAUUAAUAAUAAAUAUCGUGACUAUGGGUACGGUUCCCAUGACAUGGUCAUGAUACAUAAACCUGGGUGUGCAUUUCAUGUGACCCGACUUCAAUUUCAACAAGGUUAAAUAGAAGGUGUCGUGAACCACGGGUGCAUUUCAUGUAGCGUGGCUUACGAUGUGUUUUAAAUAACCUUGAAUUUUUCCUGAAAUAUUAAAAGCGGCUAAAAGAUUAAAAAUGCACAAUAGGUUUAAAACUAUUUUAAAAUCAGAUAAUUGAGCCAAAAAUAAUAGUUGAGCGACCGUGCUAGAACCACGGAACUCGGGAAUGCCUAAUACCUUCUCCCGGGUUAACAAAAUUCCUUACCCGGAUUUUUGUGUUCGCAGACUGUAAAAUAGAGUCAAUCUUUUUCUCGAUUCGGGAUUUGAACCGGUGACUUGGGACACCAUAAAUUAUCCUAAGUGGCGACUCUGAAUUUUUACAUAAAAAUAAUCCCGUUUCGAUUGUCACUUUAAGUUGGAAAAAAACUCUCUCAUACCCUUCCAGGGUGUAGUGAAAAAGGAGGUAUGAAAAUGAUGGUCCGUCUCAGCAGAAGGGUCAGCCCUCGACUUCAACUCCAGUUACUUCACCACCUACCCAGUCAGAUAGGGGUGGAGGUCAGUCAGCUAGGGGUCGCCCUAGAGGGGGAGGUCGAUCAGGUGGUGGUCAAGCUCAUUUCUAUGCCCUCCCAGGUAGACCAGAUGCUGCUGCUUCAGAUGCCGUGAUUUCAAGUAUUGUUUUAGUAUGCCACAGAGAUGCCUUUGUAUUAUUAUUUGAUUCAAAAGUAUAGAAUAAUUAAGAACAAAAAUAAAAUAAUUAAAUAAAUUUGAAGAAAGUACAAGUCUUGCUAUGGAUUCAACUUCUCUGACAGCAAUAAUAAAAGCGAUAUGAAGACUAAAAAGAGAGAAAUUAGCAAAAUAUAUUAAGAAUAGAUUUGGCUUUUGAGUACAUAAUAUUUUGUGUCUUAUAAUGAAUUUGAGUUCUUCUAUUUAUAGCUCAAUUCAGGGAGACAAAAUCCCAAACAAGAUCUUCUUUAAUAUGAAUAAAACCCCUCUUGAUGAUUGCAUAAUGGUUGAACAUUAAUACCGUGAUUCUUUGUUACGGCUACUCAUUGAAUGUUGUCUUUUCCAACUGAUAUCUUCCCUUCAAAUAUUCGUACUCGGUUUUACUGUCCUCGAAAUUUACCCAGCAAUGGUCAUAUGUUCGAAAUUCGUACCAGUCUUUUGCUGGCUCAUAUCUUACUUGUCUUUGCUUUCACGUGUCGAUUCGUCAAAUGUCCACAUGCCAUUUAUCAAUUUUACCCGCUAUAGAUUGUUCCCCUACUUUUUGGAGACAACACUUUGGUGUUACCGGAAAGUAGAUAAGACCUCUUUCCUUAGCGAGUAAGUUUCUGAAUGAUUUCUCACACUUGAAUGGAUGCACGUCUCCUUGCAUCUAAUGAACCGAAUACGUGUUAUUCCACCAUUCGACAAGUGUUUUUGCCGAUUUUAAAAGUAAUCAUGACCAUGAAUUCCGCCGCAUAUAAACUUCCCCAUUACUCUUCACUUUUUUUCACUUUUACAAACCCUUCUUCAAAUCUCCUUAGAACUCAACUGCAAACCCCUCCUUCUCAGUAAAAUCACUUCACUCAGAUUUUCUACCACCAUGUCUUUUACUUCAUUUAUCCCCGAAAACUCUAGAAUUAUCAUCGGUGGUGGCCCUUCUAAAAAGAAUAAAACUAAGGAAGCCAAUGUCGAGCCUCCUACUGUCAACACCAUCAUUCCUUCUCAACUUAAUUCUCAGAUGGACCUUCAAGUUCAAAAGGAACCUAUCAACCCCAAAAAUGACAAAAAAUUGUCAUGUUCGCAGAUAUCCUUCUUCUAUUUUUCAUGUUAGCAUUUCUGUUAUAAAGGAAGAUUGUGACUUGAAUAACAUCAAAAUCUUCGCCCCAAUGAAGCGGAAAGGACUACAUUUAGCAAACCAGGGUUCACGUAUGUUUAUACAUACCCUUUCAUCCUAAAAUUGGGUUAAGAGACUGAUUACAUAAUUUUAGAGUUUUGCCACCAUUACCAAAUCUGCUUGGCUCAAGUAAGCCCGUCAAUAUAGUGUACGAUGUCUUGCCUUUUGAAAUUGUGUUCCUCGGCCGUAGAAACCCUUUCUCUUGCCCAUUUGAUCAACCUCUACUUCCCAAAUAUUUUCCGUGGAAGCGUGGUCAUCAUGCUAUUGUUACUAGCGUUGAUGACAACAAUGACCCUAGUUGGAUGGAACGAUUUGUUGUCAUUGCUACCAAGGACAUCCUUCCGGCAACAACCCCUUCUAUCCCCGAGUCUUGGAAUUUUGAUAGUUAGUUUUCAAAUAACUUUUCCUUAUUGUGUUAAAGAUAAUUUCCUCCUUUGCUAACUUUUAUUUCCUUUUAUUUUAGCUACCCAAUGAGAACCACCAUCCAUUAAGAACCUGACCGAAUAGGCUCAGAAAAUUUUGGACGUUUUCACACCGGAUUAUCACAGGUGGAAAGAAAUUGCACAAAAAUUCAAUUGGAAAGCCAAAAAUCACGGUAAGUAAAAGUACUCCUUUUUUUCCUUUCAACAUGAUUUAAAACCAAUUUGCUAACUUUCUUUCAUAUUACACAAGCCUUUUGAAGGGGUCUGCCAUUUGCCCCGUUGUUGAGGUUUUCGUUGAUCUAACGGAGGCCCAAUAACAAUGGAAAGACCUCCUUAAUCGGAAAAAGGGAUCAUGAAGUCACUCUUGUUUUCGGUGAAGGUCCCCCCUUCCGGAGUCUCCAGCCCAAGGAUAAGAAACCAAAAAGAAGACAUACCUCUACGCCUGGGAUUCGGGAGAAGAUUUCAACAAAAGAAACUCCCACUGGACCGAUCAAAAUGAUCUUUGAGGAAAAAGGAACUGAUGAUGAAGCGACUCCACUUCAAAAGAGAAAAAGAUCUUCUCCAACUCAACUAGAUGUUCACCCGAGAGAACAUCAAUCAGCUUAAAUGGGAGAACUUCAAGUGAUCUUUAAGGAAAUGGAAACAAUUGAAAUUGCAAAGCCCCAUUUUUGGGCUCCCAUUGUUGCUUCCGGUCAGAGGUAUUAUACCUCUGAUGUUCCUCUGCCACCAAAUUCUACACCAACCGCAACACCAACUUCUACCCACCCACCGACCUAUACCGAACAAAUAGAAGAUGUUUGUUCUCCAUGGUCACCCGACCAAGGAAAUUUAGGGAACACUUAUCUGGCACCCAUCCAAAACCCUAAUGGAAAGCACAAUGUCAUUCUUAUGGCUUCGAAUAAGUGUCACCUACUCUCCAAGCCGGCGGAGGUCGUGGAUUACUUGAAGCCUAUGGCUACGGAUAAAGAUUGGAGAAAGAUAGAUACUCUUUCUAUUAAGUAUUUGAUCAAUAAUAUCAUGCACCUUUUAGCUCAGAUAUCAAUUUAAUCUUCAUCUCUUCCCCUUUUUAUUGCUAAACUUUUUCUUUAUAACUUUAAUUUUUAACAUUUUUUGUCUAAUAUCAUUGCCUCCGAGGGUUUGCAAAAGUUGAUCUCGGAAUUAGAAGAGCUUGCUGCUGAAUGAAAUUAACUUGCUGCCGAAUUAAAUCAGCUUGCCAAGCGCCUCCCGAUUUUGGAAGCAAAGUUGCUUUAAUGGGCAAGCUAGAAGCCCGACUAGAGUAAUUUGAGCAAGAGAAAAUGGCCCAUAGUCAAGAGGUUGCUCAAUUACAUGAAGAGCUUAAGGAUUUGAAGGCUAAGUGGGCUGAGCUAUAGGAUAUUGUAACUGCCACAACCAAACAUGAGUCUACUUCCAUAGAACAAAUCAACAACCUGGAAGCAAAGUUAUGUUCCAAAACCGAAAAGGCUACUAUUGUCGAGGAGAAGAGAGCCAGAAUAGAAGAAAUGUUAAAAAAGGUCAUGGAACAGAACUGCAAACAUGCGAGGACAAAUAUCGACCUUAAUCGAACCUAUGGCAGUGUGAGGGCUGAAAAUGAUCAGCUGCAAUCCAAAGUUGAGAAACUCCAACAUCAAGAAGUCUCUUUCCUCCUCGAAAAACUUAUGCAAUUUACAAGAUGAGGAAGACGAUUUUAGAGAAGGCCAAAGACGGCAUUGAAAACAUAGAUGAUUACAUCACUAAAGCUCGUAUUGGAGACAACUUCCCUCGAUAAAAUUCUUGCUCGGCCCACCGCUUCAAGUUAUUCGAAAACUAGCUCUGAGUAUUCGAGAACCGAAGAGGAAGAUGAAGAAGAAGUGAAAGAUAAGGAUGAAGGCCUUGGACCAGGUACGGAACAGCCUUCAUCUGCAAAAGAAGCAAAAGACACUUCCCUUCUUUUGGACUCCGCAUGCAAAAGCAAUUGAUGUAUACAUUUUGCUUUUCCUUUGUUACUAUGCCGAAACUUCUUAUUGAGUUUGACAUUUUAAGUAAUGAAAGAAACUUUUUGCUUAAUGAUUGUGCAAAAAUAUUCUUUUUUAAUUAACUAAUAAAGCUCGGAAAUUAUUUUUACAUCCGAUAACUUUAAUCAUAGCAUUCAUACAUUCAAUAUCUAUCCUUUCACUAUGAGGGUUUCAUUAGAGAGGACCCUUAUGUUUAUGAUGCUCUUGAAGAGGAUGUCUCAUAUUUAUUUCGGCACAAUAAUUUGAAGUUCUAAUUAACUUUCAAAUGAAAAAGAAUUAAACUUAUCAUUUGGACAAGAAAUAAGAUAAAAUGAAAAGGAUUUUGAUUUAUUCCUUACAUUUCUAAAAGUACAUUUACAUAAACAUUUAUUUGCUUAAGUAAAUAAAGUUGUCAAUACAUGUGUUUAACUUGUAUAACUUAUUUCUACGGGGCUGAUCAUGCAAACCUUGAUCUUGAUAAUAAAUAGCUUCUGGUUCUAACAGUACCCGGUCUUCGUGACACUUUUAGUACUCUAGUCUGCAAUAGUGUCUCCAAUGUUCAGAUGCUAAGUAUGAGAAUUUGAACACUGGAGUUCUUGCUAUCGUUGAUGAUCCUUCCUCGUAGUAUGCUUUAUGUUGCCGCCUCAUUAAAAACUUUGCCAGAAAAACCCAAUUGAGACAAAAACUGGACGAAGGGAUAAAGAGUGUAGCACAUACUUUCAGUAUCAGCAACGAUCUUUAGCAGUAAUACCUUUUGAGGUGAGUCACGUUCUAAUUUCUUGAAAAUUUAAAUCCAUCUUGAUUUUCCAACUGUUAUGAAUCUUUAUCAGUUAUAGCUGAAAUCCAGUAAUGUCCUUCCUAUGUUGGUCCUAGCUUCAUGUGUUAACUUCUCAAGUACUUUGACUUACUCUUUCUUAAAACCAAAUCUCUAACUUUGAAAUAUCAAAGAAUUGCUCUGCGGUUGACUUGGUUUUUUCCUUCGAUACUUGAAAAUACCUCAGUACCUGAUAGAAAUUCAAUGACUCCUCUUGCCCAUUACCUUCAAUCGGGAUGGAAGAGAGCACCAAUUCAUGUAGUUUCUAUUUUAUUUAUCCUUAUGCUUUGCUACUGGAAACGAUAACUAUAUUCAUUUCUCUCACAGCUGGUUGAUCUUCUCUAAUUUGUUUGAUCCCCUCCGGUGUAGGGAACUUCAGCAAUUGAUAGAAAGUUAGUGGCACAUAGUUCAUUUCAUGAAUCUAUGGCCUUCCAAGGAUCACGUUGUAUCCCAUAUCGCCAUCUACCACCUCGAACAAAAUAGUUUUCGUUACGUGUAAUGACCUAUAUUUAAGUUAGGAUAUGUUGGUCUUUUAACAUAACCAAAAAAAUACAAGAAAAAAAAAAGGAAAACCUAAUCAAUUUAAAAGAAGGGAAAACACCCACGUGAAAAAGAAAGAAAAGGAAAUUGGGGGAAAGGGAAAAGUAGUGAUGCUGCUGCAACAAAAGCAAAAAGAAAAGGAAGAAGAAGAAGAAGAAGAAAGAGGUUGGAACUUGGAAAAUAGGUAAUAUAAUAUUCUUAUAUUUUGUUUUACUAAUAUGAGAGUAUAUAAAUUAAAUAAUUUGAGUUAUAUAAUGAGAUUGACUAAUAUAAUUAGAAACAAGAAAAAAUUAAGUAAUCCCUCCCUAACUCAUAGCACUUUGUGGAAGAAUCAUGGGUGAAAGCAGAACACUUUGUAAUGAAGAUUUAAUUUUUUAAAACAAAUCAAAUUCAUAAUGUAUUUGUAUGUAGUAAUAUGAAUAAAAUAUGGGAACAUACAUAGAAACAAAGGCAAUUUGUUAAAGGUGUUCUUUUUAAUUCAAAGGAUAAACUUUCUUACUUCACUUGCUUAAGUUUAUCUUCUAGGUAUAUAUAAUUUUGUUAGGUAAAGAAAGCAUUGUCGAUAGUGAUCCUAUAUGAUUUAUAUAUAUACACAUAGUUGGAAUAAUUUGGGUAAAAGAAAAUUGAAUAAAUAAAUAAAUAAAUAUACAAGUAACUUGAAAUUGAUAGAUUAUAGACUAGUUGAAUUACUCAUAGCAUGGAUAAAUGUGAUUAAGUGAAUUGAUGGUAUAACCUAAAACUCUAAGGAUUUAGAAUCUAAAUUUAGCUAUAAAUUAGCUUAAACAAAGAAAUUAACACAAGAUCGAUAUUGAUGUGGCUAUAGAUUGAUUGAAGAAAGUCGUACAGAUCGCUCGAGGCGACAAGUUUGGUAUUUUGACACGAGUACUGUGAGUAGUAAUCUCACCGCAAUUUGUGUUUUCAUAACCUGCAUGGUUUAUACAUUAUUUUGAAAAUAAAAGGUGUUACCGAAUGUUCGAAAUUGCAUGUGGGACAAGUCUUUUACUUGAUAUGGUACUGAAUAGUUUACUUGAGAUGUUUACAGGUAUUUAAAAUGUUCUCAGUGUUACGAGACGUGUUUUAUUAUUAUUUGAGAUAUGAUUAUCGUUACCGAAAUUGGAUUACAUGACUUGAUAGGAAUUGAAAUGCCUUAUACUAUUUUGAAAAUACUUUCAUGUAAAUAUUUACUGUUUACAAAGCAAAGUAUAAAUGGGAGGAGACUUUAAAGGAUCUCGUAACUAAAGGCAGGUUCGUUAGACCUGGUGNNNNNNNNNNNNNNNNNNNNNNNNNNNNNNNNNNNNNNNNNNNNNNNNNNNNNNNNNNNNNNNNNNNNNNNNNNNNNNNNNNNNNNNNNNNNNNNNNNNNNNNNNNNNNNNNNNNNNNNNNNNNNNNNNNNNNNNNNNNNNNNNNNNNNNNNNNNNNNNNNNNNNNNNNNNNNNNNNNNNNCUCCUCUUACGAAGGGGAGUACACAAUGAUGCAUACUACAUGAUCCUUUUCUAGAAACCUCCAAGAUAUAAAGAUUUGAGUAUUUACCGAGUUUAUUACUGAAUUGUUAAAUUGCUUUUGUUACAGGAAACAUAUGACUAGACUGAUUAUUAUUACUGUUUUAAAAAUGGCAUUUUAUUUUGUGAUUAAUUUACAAGCAUGUUUUCUGACUUGUCCGCAAUUAAAAAUGGUUGUGGUUAAGUGUUAUUACUCACUGAGAUAGCGACUCACUCUCCGCUACUAUUUUUGCAGAGGCAAUAGUAGAGGCGGGCGAUGAUUCUGUUAAUUAGAGUGCACGAGUUGGCAGAUCCUGGUGAACCCUGCAUUUAUUCGCGUGGGAAAAUAUUGUUGUUUAUUUGUUAUAGUCUUUUUCUUGAAAUUCUUAGAGUCGUUCCAUAGCCAUUUUGUUAGUGUCAUGAGUAUUCGUUCAUUAUUUUAUAUCUAUGACUACUAUUGGACUCUCUUAUAGUAUUUUGGAGAUGAAUUUAAAAUUUCUGUGUUGCAAAUGAUUGAUUAAU
rnacentral:lncRNA from 1 species